UCGUAGAAAACAGUGACAUUUGUUAGAUUCAGGGUUAAAAACUAGUGAGUUAUCUCAUUCUCAGCUGUGUUCUUUAUCAAAAGCUUUAACCAUGCCAUGCCAGUAAAGAAGAUAACAUAAAAUUAACACAAAUUUGACAUAGAUGAAAUAUGUAGUCUGACAUAUGUUCCAUUCUGGUCCUUUAUAGAAUGCAAAACUCCACCUCCUGAUACCUCCAACUUCUGCUCCGAUUCACUGAAAUGAAAAAGAAAAGCCACAAUGUCAAAAAAUGAACAGAUGAAUCUAAUGUUUGCAAAGGCCCAUCUACUCACCAGAUUCAAAAUUUUGAAUUGGUUGCAGAAUGCAUUAUGGACUCACAUAUCAUUUAUCAAAUCAUAUUUAUGUAUAUUUCCCUUCAUGCAACCAAGGAAAUUCGAUGGAAACUUGCAACAGAAAGGAAAAGAAGAUAACAAUGAUCCAAUUAAAGCAAAGUUGGAAAAUUAGAACAUGUCUUGAGGUUGCCAAUUUCUCCUUCCAAAAGUAGAAUCACCUGAAAGUACUAUUUGGUUCUAUCAAUUACCUUUUAAAGAUUUACUUGCCUCUUAUAUACAACUAUCUCAUAUUCCCUCAACUUGUCAAACAUACACUGGAACUCCCUCCAAAGCUUACUCAACUCAUCAGAUUUCUAACAUUCAUUUUUAUAAAUGUUCAACUUCAUUGUUUCACAUAAUCCAAACAAAGUGUCCGAGAGACUCUCCUCCCACAAAUUGAAAACUGAAAGAGAAAGAAAGAAAAUCUACUCGUGCAUCCAAAAACCAGAGACUGAUGAUGGAAGGACCAAAAAUGGGCAAAGAAAUAGACUACAAAUAAUUUUAUUUGCUAUCUUAGAUGCUUUCCCACUUGGAGUCAACUUGCCAUUUGACAACAAUAAAUAUUCAUAACACCAGAAGCAACUGCAAACAAGAAGCAUAUCAAAUUUAGUUUAUGAAUUAUACGUUUUGGAGCAUUCGUGUUGGACAUGAGUAUGUGGAGGCGGCCAGUAAAUUCCAUUCUCUCUUUUAGCUGCAUCUUCAUUCUCUUCUACACUGAAAACAUCCAUUUCACCAUUCCUCAUAAUUACCAAAUGGGCAGCACCAAAGCGCUUACAUUCUUUAACAAUUCAAUGAUAUGAGACUAUAGACCAACUUAAACAGCGUAAUGAACAACACCCUAAGAGAUAAUAAAACAAUAAAAAAGAAAGAAGGAAAUGUCUUUAAUAUGAGUAUAUUUGAAAAGAGAGCACCGGAUUUUCUCAGCGUAAUUGAAAGGAUAGAGCUUUAAGCAGCGCAUCGGAAAAGGAAAGUGUUCGAAUUGAGAAAGAAGAAGAAUUUGAAGUAAAUAAGCGAAAGUUACCAUAAAUAAAUGGGAUCAUACAGUGCCUGCUGCUAUUGAAUUGAAUAUCCUACUUCUGGGUUGUUGGGUGCAUUCAAUGCCACUAUUAAUUUCAUCUGAUUGCACGACAAUGCAAGAUGGAAACUGUAUAGUUUAGGAGCAUGUGGUGGUGAAUUGUGUACGUGAACAGUCUCUACCUGAAGAAAAUUACCCGUCACGAUUCUGAAUCUGCUUCGGCUGCAAACUGCAGGGUCAGGAUAACUGGUCUAACAAAUGAUACCCGAAAAUAUAUUUUUUC
rnacentral:lncRNA from 1 species